rnacentral:lncRNA from 1 species
GAGUACAGGAACUAUAGAAAAUAGUCAAUGUGUGCUUGACCAGCUAACAGAAGACUUUUUUAAUGCAUUGGACCACCCUCUUCCUUCCAUGUUAAGAAUUAGGGUGAGCAGAGCUGGUUUUACAUAUACUGAUGAGAAUAUCAAAUGUUGCAAGUGCUCUGCUAAUUGUUUCCCAGGGCACAAGGAGGACUCAGGAGAGGGACUGGUCAAAUGUACUUGGGGAGGCCUAAAGGGUGAGGAUACACUUAUGUGAAGUCACACGGGGGGUACAAUUGCCAGCUUCACACGGGGCAGGCAGAGGGAGUGGGAGUGGGAGAGGGAGAAGCUGGCUCGCCGCUGAGCAGAGAGCAGGACCUGGCUCAAUCAAAGGACCCUGGGAUCAUGACCUGAGCCGCAGGCAGAUGCCCAACCCACUGAGCCACCCAGGCGCCCACCCAGUUUUAAAACACAAGCCCUACAAAUGUGAACAUCUUUUGUCCAUUUCAAUUUUGAAAAAUCUAGAAAUAAAGAGAAUUGCAAAGAUAUUCCAAGAGACAUAGAAUGUUAUAGCAGCUGGGCAUAGGGGCUUGUAUGCAAAUACCAUGUUAAUGAGGCACAUCUGUACAGCAGAACAAUAUUCAAGGAAUUCAAGCACGUAUACAAUACUUGGUACUAUAUAUCAUAUGAAUUGUAUUCUAAUACGAUACUGUAUUGUUUUAAUAAUUGUUGCUUAUUUGGAAAGUUUUUGAAAACUUUUUAAAUUUCAAGUGUGAAAUGCUUGAGAUUUUUCUAUUUAGUAGUGGGAAGAAUUAUUUCACAUGUUGGGGUUUUAAAAUAGUCUUGGAGUAAGCAUAAUAUUUAAAUAGCCAGUAUGUACACACCUAUAUCGAUGAGCAAAAUCUCAAUAAACUGGACAUAGGUAUUAUCUAGAAAAUCCACUUAAAGUCAAAUCAUAACAAAUCACAGAUGCCUAUUAUGAUACCACAUAAUUUUUUAAUGUUAACAUAUUUUUUGGAAGAGAUAAAUGUAACAAUUACUUGAAUAUAGUUUCAUUGUUCAGUUAUGAUACAAGAUACAGACAAAUCUUAUAAGCAGGGUUUUAAUUUCAUAACACAGUGAAAUUGUAAUUCCAAGGUACAGGUACAUUCACAUAAAGAAAUCCUUUAGCUACUGAAUAAUGACUAUAUACUGAUGACAGUAAGAAU